rnacentral:lncRNA from 1 species
GUCAUCACUGGAGUUGCUGUAAUCCUCGAUCCGAUGGCUCGUUCCAAUUCUAUCUUUUGAAGUGUUGGGUGCAGGAGAUACCUCAGGGACAUCAGUGGAUUCGGUAUUGAGAGUGCAUAUCGGCGCAGCAUCAUAUGGAGCAUAUGGGAGUGUCAAAACUUCUGUAGAAGUAAUGUCUGGAAAUGUAUCACAAGAACUGACCGUCUGCCAAGAUGAGCUGCGGUAAAAUCGCCCUUGAUGGCGAUAAGGAUCCCAAGCAGGCGUCGCACGAUAAAUGAGGUCACCGGCUGUCGUUCCCACACGAGCGGCAUGAUCACCACUCAACGGCAGAAGAGCUGCAAGAGGUGUAGGAGUAAUGGCCGUAGAAUCAGCACUAGUAACAGCAGGAACGAGGUCACUGCACAUGGGCUCAGGAGAGGCACACACAACUGAAGGCAGAGUGACUGUGCUCGGGGGAGGGAUCUCAGCAACAGCAGGAAGAUCAGCAAUGAUAACUGGUGUUGCUUCACUAGUAGUAACUUCAUUUGGUGCUUCACUGGUUUCUGCACCGGUGGUAGGAACAUUUUGAACAAUCGGAGUAACAACUGUUGCCGCUUCUGUUGUUGCUGCAUUCUGGUUUCUGUUAUCGGCUUUCGGAACGUACUGAGUCUUCAAAGGUUCCUUUGACUUGUUACCCUCUCCAUCCGGAACAACAUUUUGCCGAACUGGGCCGGAACGGUCUGAUUUCCGCAACUCGGGUUUGUUGAUGUAGCAGGUGUCAUCAGAGUGGCCCACAUGCUUGCAGGCAGCACAAUACCGAGGCACUUUUUCGAAGAUGAUAUACUGCCAAAACCCAGUGUCUUUUUCCCCAAUCCAUAACCUCUUCAAUAAAGGCCUAGAAAUGUCAUACUCAAUGAGGACUCUGGCAACAGUAGGCCUACUGACCGAGGCGGUGGCAUGAUCGAUCCGAAGAGGUUUCCCGAUGGCAGCAGCAAUGGAAUACAGAGCCUCUUUGCAUCUCAUGUAGUGGACCGGUAAAAACGGCAAGGAGACCCAUAUCGGAACAAUCGGCGACUCUUCCGAACAAUGAAAAGUUGUGGACCAUUUGAAGACCCUCAUAGCUCGGCCAUCAAUAAACCAGGACUGGCGGAGCCAGAUUCUCGUAUAGUCCUCUUCCAGGUGCAGUUGGAUAAGGAUGUGUCGAGGAUCCAAUAAUGAAAUUUCAACAUUUCCUUUCAAGCCAAGAGCCACAAAAAAUUUACGGAUAACAUCAAUAGGGGGGCGGCCGAAAGAAAACUUACCCACUAAAGCGAGCUUGAAUGGUGCGGCCAUGAUGUUAAUUUCUUCCUCGGUGAAAAAAAUGGCCGGCUCACCUCUAUGGGUGGAAGAUUGCCUGAAGGCAAUGGCUGGAGCAGCUCUUUGAGACCCAGCAGCGGCAUCCACAAACGAUUUACAGGGCCGAGCAGUGGGCGAUUUUGCCGCCAUUUGAGCAAACGAUGGAAGCGGCGGAAACUCCAAUGAAGUAGCCGGAUGGCUACCGGCCAUGGCCAGAGAAGCCAUUCGGGCCGAGCUGCGCGACGGGAGACCCCGGGAGAAAAAUGCUCAAAAUCCCAAGUUCUGUGAAUAGUACCCUGAAAACACUGUAGCAAACAGGUACUGUAGCGAUCACGGGUACUGUAGCAACCGGUACUGUAGAGAUCAAUGGCACUGUAGCAAUGAUGAACAAAAUACUGUAGCAAGAAGAACAGCACUGUAGCAGGAAUAGUAAAUCCGAAAUUCAAAUUAUCGUGUAGGCUUCAAAUCACCUCCAAAAUGCUCAUAUAAGGUAUGGAAACGUAGAUCGGUGAGAGGGGAACAAUUCUGAGGGGGAGGUGAGAGUUCACUCGCCGGAAAUUUGACCGGAUCUAGGAUUUAGAUAUCGGCACUAUUCAUUGAAUAGUAAACCGAAACUUCAAAGCUUGAUCGGGUAUUCAAAUCAACUCCAAAAUCCCCAAUAAACACACGGAAAUGUAGAUCAAUGAAGGAUGAAUAUGUUUAAGAGGGAGGUGUGAGCUUACUUGCCGGAAAAUGUGGUCGGAAAACCGAAACUAGCAUUCGGGUACUGUAGCACGCAUAGUAUUCCGACUUCACUUCAAUCGUUCAAGCUCCAAACGUGCACCAAAAUUUCCAAGCAACAUAUCAAAUCGAAGGGAAUUCAAAGGACGACGUGCUGGAAGUGGAGGUGUAGAUUCACUCGCCGGAAAAUUGGCCGGAAAGUGGAAUUAAAGGCUCGGCAUCACUGUAGCGGUUGAGAGAAAAUUGUCACUGUAGCAAAACGCUACUGUAGCAGAUUAGGGAAUAAUGGUUUGGGUUUAGGGUUUAGGGUUUAGGGUUUAGGGUUUAGGGUUUAGGGUUUAGGGUUUAGGGUUUAGGGUUUAGGGUUUAGGGUUUAGGGUUUAGGGUUUAGGGUUUAGGGUUUAGGGUUUAGGGUUUAGGGUUUAGGGUUUAGGGUUUAGGGUUUAGGGUUUAGGGUUUAGGGUUUAGGGUUUAGGGUUUAGGGUUUAGGGUUUAGGGUUUAGGGUUUAGGGUUUAGGGUUUAGGGUUUAAGUUCGUCCAGCGGAAAAAGGCCACAAAAACGGGUGGGCUAUAGCUUGGGGGGGUGGGGCUGACCAACUUCAUCCGCCGGACUCGGAAUGGCAUUUAGGGUUUAGGGUUUAGGGUUUUUAGGGUUUAGGGUUUAGGGUUUAGGGUUUAGGGUUUAGGGUUUAGGGUUUUUUUUUUUAUUGAAAACCACCCGGAGGUGGGGGGUUAGGCGGGACCCCUACCAGUAGAUAAAAAGAAAGUAAAGGAAAAUAAAAUACAAUACUGGAGGGGGGCAUAGACCAAACCUCCAGAGCAAACAGCAAACAUCAACAAGACAAGUACAAUGAAAAUAUAAAAUCAAUAGUGGCGGCGUCUGCGGUUCAUCUUGAAGCCUUUCCGAGGAGUGACUUCAGUAAAACCCUCCGUAGAAGUGACAAUUCUUUGCCCACCCAAUUUCGCGAUGACUGUCUCUUCCAUAAUCUCUGAGUCUGAAAUGCCUAUACGGACAUUAACAUGAACGUCAUCAUCACUCGAGCUGGUGUAAUCCUCGUACAGAUAACUCUUUCCAAUUCUAUCUUUUGAAGUGUCGGGUGCAGGAGAUACCUCAGGGACAUCAGUGGAUUCAGUAUUAAGAGUGCAUAUCGGCGUAGCAUCAUGUGGAGCACAUUGGAUUGCCAAGACAUCGGUAGACGGAAUGUCUGGAAAAGUAUCACAUGAACUGGCCGUCUGCCAGGAUGAGCUGCGGUAAAAUCGCCCUUGAUGGCGAUAAGGAUCCCAAGCAGGCGUCGCACGAUAAAUGAGGUCACCGGCUGUCGUUCCCACACGAGCGGCAUGAUCACCACUCAACGGCAGAAGAGCUGCAAGAGGUGUAGGAGUAAUGGCCGUAGAAUCAGCACUAGUAACAGCAGGAACGAGGUCACUGCACAUGGGCUCAGGAGAGGCACACACAACUGAAGGCAGAGUGACUGUGCUCGGGGGAGGGAUCUCAGCAACAGCAGGAAGAUCAGCAAUGAUAACUGGUGUUGCUUCAGUAGUAGUAACUUCAUUUGGUGCUUCACUGGUUUCUGCACCGGUGGUAGGAACAUUUUGAACAAUCGGAGUAACAACUGUUGCCGCUUCUGUUGUUGCUGCAUUCUGGUUUCUGUUAUCGGCUUUCGGAACGUACUGAGUCUUCAUAGGUUCCUUUGACUUGUUACCCUCUCCAUCCGGAACAACAUUUUGCCGAACUGGGCCGGAACGGUCUGAUUUCCGCAACUCGGGUUUGUUGAUGUAGCAGGUGUCAUCAGAGUGGCCCACAUGCUUGCAGGCAGCACAAUACCGAGGCACUUUUUCGAAGAUGAUAUACUGCCAAAACCCAGUGUCUUUUUCCCCAAUCCAUAACCUCUUCAAUAAAGGCCUAGAAAUGUCAUACUCAAUGAGGACUCUGGCAACAGUAGGCCUACUGACCGAGGCGGUGGCAUGAUCGAUCCGAAGAGGUUUCCCGAUGGCAGCAGCAAUGGAAUACAGAGCCUCUUUGCAUCUCAUGUAGUGGACCGGUAAAAACGGCAAGGAGACCCAUAUCGGAACAAUCGGCGACUCUUCCGAACAAUGAAAAGUUGUGGACCAUUUGAAGACCCUCAUAGCUCGGCCAUCAAUAAACCAGGACUGGCGGAGCCAGAUUCUCGUAUAGUCCUCUUCCAGGUGCAGUUGGAUAAGGAUGUGUCGAGGAUCCAAUAAUGAAAUUUCAACAUUUCCUUUCAAGCCAAGAGCCACAAAAAAUUUACGGAUAACAUCAAUAGGGGGGCGGCCGAAAGAAAACUUACCCACUAAAGCGAGCUUGAAUGGUGCGGCCAUGAUGUUAAUUUCUUCCUCGGUGAAAAAAAUGGCCGGCUCACCUCUAUGGGUGGAAGAUUGCCUGAAGGCAAUGGCUGGAGCAGCUCUUUGAGACCCAGCAGCGGCAUCCACAAACGAUUUACAGGGCCGAGCAGUGGGCGAUUUUGCCGCCAUUUGAGCAAACGAUGGAAGCGGCGGAAACUCCAAUGAAGUAGCCGGAUGGCUACCGGCCAUGGCCAGAGAAGCCAUUCGGGCCGAGCUGCGCGACGGGAGACCCCGGGAGAAAAAUGCUCAAAAUCCCAAGUUCUGUGAAUAGUACCCUGAAAACACUGUAGCAAACAGGUACUGUAGCGAUCACGGGUACUGUAGCAACCGGUACUGUAGAGAUCAAUGGCACUGUAGCAAUGAUGAACAAAAUACUGUAGCAAGAAGAACAGCACUGUAGCAGGAAUAGUAAAUCCGAAAUUCAAAUUAUCGUGUAGGCUUCAAAUCACCUCCAAAAUGCUCAUAUAAGGUAUGGAAACGUAGAUCGGUGAGAGGGGAACAAUUCUGAGGGGGAGGUGAGAGUUCACUCGCCGGAAAUUUGACCGGAUCUAGGAUUUAGAUAUCGGCACUAUUCAUUGAAUAGUAAACCGAAACUUCAAAGCUUGAUCGGGUAUUCAAAUCAACUCCAAAAUCCCCAAUAAACACACGGAAAUGUAGAUCAAUGAAGGAUGAAUAUGUUUAAGAGGGAGGUGUGAGCUUACUUGCCGGAAAAUGUGGUCGGAAAACCGAAACUAGCAUUCGGGUACUGUAGCACGCAUAGUAUUCCGACUUCACUUCAAUCUUUCAAGCUCCAAACGUGCACCAAAAUUUCCAAGCAACAUAUCAAAUCGAAGGGAAUUCAAAGGACGACGUGCUGGAAGUGGAGGUGUAGAUUCACUCGCCGGAAAAUUGGCCGGAAAGUGGAAUUAAAGGCUCGGCAUCACAGUAGCGGUUGAGAGAAAAUUGUCACUGUAGCAAAACGCUACUGUAGCAGAUUAGGGAAUAAUGGUUGGUUUUGGUUUAGGGUUUAGGGUUUAGGGUUUAGGGUUUAGGGUUUAGGGUUU